AAGCAUUCGGAGAUUAUUCAAAACUGCAACACAGCUCGCAAGGGGAAAGCAAAAGAUACAACCUCCUUAAGAAAAAAAUGGCCAUUAGAGCUGUUUCUUCUUCUUGUUCGUCUUACUUUAAUGAGUCGCGGCUUAUCCUGGUUUGCUGUUUGGUCUUGGUUAUGAUCCUCAAUUUCCUGCCAAUAAUCUCCGCCAGAGGUUCUGGAGAUUUGGGAGGACGAAAACUCAUGUAGUUGAAGAGCGGGGUAAGUUGUACCGUAGGAGAAGAGGACUGUCGAUGCCAUCAAGGUGGAACAGCCUGCAUAUAUAUAUAUAUAUAUAUGUAUCUAUAUAUAGACUCACAAA